AGCGAACGCUGGCGGCAGGCCUAAUACAUGCAAGUCGAGCGCGCCCUUCGGGGUGAGCGGCGGACGGGUGAGUAACGCGUGGGAAUAUGCCCUUCUCUAAGGAAUAGCCUCUGGAAACGGAGAGUAAUACCUUAUACGCCCUUUGGGGGAAAGAUUUAUCGGAGAAGGAUUAGCCCGCGUUAGAUUAGGUAGUUGGUGGGGUAAUGGCCUACCAAGCCUACGAUCUAUAGCUGGUUUGAGAGGAUGAUCAGCCACACUGGGACUGAGACACAGCCCAGACUCCUACGGGGGGCAGCAGUAGGGAAUCUUAGACAAUGGGGGCAACCCUGAUCUAGCCAUGCCGCGUGUGUGAUGAAGGCCCUAGGGUCGUAAAGCACUUUCGCCAGAGAUGAUAAUGACAGUAUCUGGUAAAGAAACCCCGGCUAACUCCGUGCCAGCAGCCGCGGUAAUACGGAGGGGGUUAGCGUUGUUCGGAAUUACUGGGCGUAAAGCGCACGUAGGCGGAUUAGUAAGUUAGAGGUGAAAUCCCAGGGCUCAACCCUGGAACUGCCUUUAAUACUGCUAGUCUUGAGUUCGAGAGAGGUAAGUGGAAUUCCGAGUGUAGAGGUGAAAUUCGUA
rnacentral:rRNA from 1 species